rnacentral:rRNA from 1 species
GAGUUUGAUCCUGGCUCAGGAUGAACGCUAGCGGCAGGCUUAACACAUGCAAGUCGAGGGGUAACAGGGAGCUUGCUCCGCUGACGACCGGCGCACGGGUGCGUAACGCGUAUAGAACCUACCUUUUACUGGAGAAUAGCCUUUAGAAAUGAAGAUUAAUGCUCCAUAGUAUUGCGAUUCGGCAUCGGGUUGUAAUUAAAGAUUUAUUGGUAAAAGAUGGCUAUGCGUCCUAUUAGUUAGUUGGUAAGGUAACGGCUUACCAAGACAGCGAUAGGUAGGGGUCCUGAGAGGGAGAUCCCCCACACUGGUACUGAGACACGGACCAGACUCCUACGGGAGGCAGCAGUGAGGAAUAUUGGGCAAUGGAGGCAACUCUGACCCAGCCAUGCCGCGUGCAGGAAGACGGCCCUAUGGGUUGUAAACUGCUUUUAUACAGGAAGAAACACUGGUAUGUAUACCAGCUUGACGGUACUGUAAGAAUAAGGACCGGCUAACUCCGUACCAGCAGCCGCGGUAAUACGGAGGGUCCGAGCGUUAUCCGGAAUCAUUGGGUUUAAAGGGUCCGCAGGCGGUCAAUUAAGUCAGAGGUGAAAUACCAUAGCUCAACUAUGGAACUGCCUUUGAUACUGGUUGACUUGAGUCAUAUGGAAGUAGAUAGAAUGUGUAGUGUAGCGGUGAAAUGCAUAGAUAUUACACAGAAUACCGAUUGCGAAGGCAGUCUACUACGUAUGUACUGACGCUGAGGGACGAAAGCGUGGGGAGCGAACAGGAUUAGAUACCCUGGUAGUCCACGCCGUAAACGAUGGAUACUAGUUGUUGGGCAUUAGCUCAGUGACUAAGCGAAAGUGAUAAGUAUCCCACCUGGGGAGUACGGUCGCAAGACUGAAACUCAAAGGAAUUGACGG